rnacentral:rRNA from 1 species
AUGGCGGCGGAGUCUGCCUGGUGCUGGCCGUGGCUCAGCUCCGGCGCGGCGUGGUUCCUCUUCUUCAACGUCGUCGUCGGCGCCGUGGCAGUCCUGUCCUGGCGGCAGGGCGGCGACGAGCCGAUGUCCAGGCGGAGGAGGCUCACCCGGAGCGCGUCGUCCAUGGUCAUGGAGCGCCUCCGCUCCAUGUCCGUCUUCGCCGCCUUCCACUCCGUGCCCGAGCACGACUACGGCAGCGGCCUCGCGUCGCCGCCGUCGCUGUCGCAGCUCCACCACGUGCAAGAGUACUACACGUCGUCGCAAGUAGAGGGAGGAGAGGAGGUCGGGCACGCGGUGAAGCAGCCGGAGCCAGCCCUGCCGGAGGGGGAAAGGGAAAGGCUGGCGGCGGCGACCGUGGCUCCGUCGACAUUAAGCGAUCCUGAUGCAGCAGCAGCAGCGGAAGUACGUUCAGCGGCUUCUGUGUCAGGGAGCGUCAAGGCAGAAGCAGAGACACGGAUGGAGGUGUCGAGAUGUUUGGGAGACGCGCCUGCGCUGGAGCCAUCGCCAGCCAGGGCCGCCCCCAAGGGUGCUACGACGGAGAGGCCGAGGAAGCGGGGGCCGGCGAAGGUGGCGGAGAUCGUCCAGCGGCGCGCGUACGCGGAGCUGGAAGAGAAGGCGGAGGUGAACGCGCAAGCCGAGCGGUUCAUCCGGCAGUUCCGGGAGGAGCUCAAGCUGGAGCGCAUCAAGUCCAUCCUCAACCGCGGCCGCGCCGCCGCCGCCACAUCGGCACGGUAG